UAAAAAAUUUUGGCGGUAUUUUAAGCUUAUUAGAGGAAUUUGCUCUGUGAUGGACACAACGCCUUAAUCUUACUUAAUUUAGUAAUUUAAAUCAGUUUGUAUACCACUAUAUUAAUUAUAUUGAAUAGUUAUAUUUAAAAUUUUUUAAAAAAAAUAUAUUAAGUCAAGGUGCAUCUAAUAAUUAUGAAUGAAGUGAAUUACAUUAAUUUUAAUGUAAUUUUUUACAUGAAAAAAUUAAUUAGGAUUUAAUAGUAAAAUACUAAUAUUAUGAGUAUUUGAAUCAAGCUCUAAAAUAUGCACAUAUCGCCCGUCGCUCUCAGAAGUGAGAUAAGUCGUAACAAAGUAAAAAUACUGGAAAGUGUUUUUUAAAAUGAAAUCAUUCGAUGUUUCAUUUACAAUGAAAAUUUUGUUAUUUAACCAUUUUAA
rnacentral:rRNA from 1 species